GCCUGUUCGAGCGUCAUUUGACACCUCAAGCUCUGCUUGGUAUUGGGUCGCGGCCUGUCGGGCCCACCCGUAACUCGUUGGCGGUGACCGUCGGCUCCUAGCGUAGCAGAAAUCUCGCUCGGAAGUCGGUGGGUGCUGUCAGACACAACCAAACCCCAAAGUUUGACCUCGGAUCAGGUAGGGAUACCCGCUGAACUUAA
rnacentral:misc_RNA from 1 species